AGAGUUUGAUCCUGGCUCAGAUUGAACGCUGGCGGCAUGCUUUACACAUGCAAGUCGAACGGCAGCACGGGGGCAACCCUGGUGGCGAGUGGCGAACGGGUGAGUAAUACAUCGGAACGCGUCCCGUAAUGGGGGAUAACGCAGCGAAAGUUGUGCUAAUACCGCAUACGAUCUACGGAUGAAAGCGGGGGACCGCAAGGCCCCGCGUUAUGGGAGUGGCCGAUGUCCGAUUAGCUAGUUGGUAGGGUAAUAGCCCACCAAGGCGACGAUUGGUAGUUGGUCUGAGAGGAUGAUCAGCCACAAUGGGACUGAGACACGGCCCAUACUCCUACGGGAGGCAGCAGUGGGGAAUUUUACGCAAUGGGGGAAACCCUGACGUAGCGACACCGCGUGAGCGAAGAAGCCCUUUGGGGUGUAAAGCUCUGUCAGCUGGAACGAACACAAUGACGGUACCAGCAGAGGAAGCAUUGGCUAACUACGUGCCAGCAGCCGCGGUAAU
rnacentral:rRNA from 1 species